UACGUAGGGUGCGAGCGUUUGUCCGGAAUUAUUGGGCGUAAAGAGCUUGUAGGCGGUCUGUCGCGUCUGCUGUGAAAAUCCGGGGCUCAACCCCGGACUUGCAGUGGGUACGGGCAGACUAGAGUGUGGUAGGGGGAGACUGGAAUUCCUGGUGUAGCGGUGAAAUGCGCAGAUAUCAGGAGGAACACCGAUGGCGAAGGCAGGUCUCUGGGCCACUACUGACGCUGAGAAGCGAAAGCAUGGGGAGCGAACAGG
rnacentral:rRNA from 1 species